UGUGCCGUCUUCUGUAAGAAGCUGAGAACUCAAGCACGAUGGCACAGGCCUGUCACCCCAGCACUCAGGAGGCUGAGGCAGGAGGAU
rnacentral:miRNA from 1 species